AGAGUUUGAUCCUGGCUCAGAUUGAACGCUGGCGGCAUGCGUAACACAUGCAAGUCGAACGGUGUUUGGUGCUUGCACCAGACAUAGUGGCGGACGGGUGAGUAAUGCGUAGGAAUCUGUCUUAGAGAGGGGGACAACCCGAGGAAACUUGGGCUAAAACCGCAUAUUCUCGAGAGAGGAAAGCAGGGGACCGGAAACGGCCUUGUGCUCUAAGGUGAGCCUACGUCGGAUUAGCUAGUUGGUAGGGUAAAAGCCUACCAAGGCGAUGAUCUGUAGCUGGUCUGAGAGGACGGACAGCCACACUGGGACUGAGACACGGCCCAGACUCCUACGGGAGGCAGCAGUGGGGAAUAUUGGACAAUGGGGGGAACCCUGAUCCAGCGAUGCCGCGUGUGUGAAGAAGGCCUGCGGGUUGUAAAGCACUUUCAGUGGGAAAGAGAAGCGUCUUGUGAAUAAUGGGACGUGGAGACGUUACUCACAGAAGAAGCACCGGCUAACUCUGUG
rnacentral:rRNA from 1 species